GCCUGGAUAGCUCAGGUGGUAGAGCAUCAGGCUCUUAAACUGAGGGUCCAGGAUUCAAACCCCUUUCCAGGCA
rnacentral:tRNA from 1 species